CAGAUGACCAGCAUGGAUAAGAAGAACCCAGGAAAAGGGAAUGGAAUAUGCAAGGCACAUUCAAGAGUACUGAAGUGGAAAAUCAAGAAUAUACUGAGUUACUGAUGCUAAUAGCCAAAGUGAUAACUAAAAGCCUUUGAAGACCUCAGCAAACUAAUGAUCAAGGCUAAGGAAAUGGUGGAAUUAUCAAAAUCAAUUGCUAAUAAAAUUAAAGACAAACAAGGUGACAUCACAGAAGAUGAGACCAUCAGGUUUAAAUCCUACUUGCUGAGCAUGGGAAUAGCUAACCCAGUUACCAGAGAAACCUACGGCUCAGGCACACAGUACCACAUGCAGCUGGCCAAACAACUGGCUGGAAUAUUGCAGGUGCCUUUAGAGGUAAAAACUAAACCUAUGUGUUUUUUUUUAAACUGUGUUAAAUUAGCCCUAUGUCAUUAGAAAUGUUAACAAGAGCAUAACUAUUUUCAUGAUAUGGUUAUUGUCAACUGACAUGUUUUUUUUUUCUUUCAGGUAUAUUAAAUAAGUUCAUUGUGCUUAUUA
rnacentral:lncRNA from 10 species